GAGAGCGGCGGACGGGUGAGUAAUGCCUAGGAAUCUGCCUAGUGGUGGGGGAUAACGUUCGGAAACGGACGCUAAUACCGCAUACGUCCUACGGGAGAAAGCGGGGGACCUUCGGGCCUCGCGCCAUUAGAUGAGCCUAGGUCGGAUUAGCUAGUUGGUGAGGUAAAGGCUCACCAAGGCGACGAUCCGUAACUGGUCUGAGAGGAUGAUCAGUCACACUGGAACUGAGACACGGUCCAGACUCCUACGGGAGGCAGCAGUGGGGAAUAUUGGACAAUGGGCGAAAGCCUGAUCCAGCCAUGCCGCGUGUGUGAAGAAGGUCUUCGGAUUGUAAAGCACUUUAAGUUGGGAGGAAGGGUAGUAACUUAAUACGUUGCUAUUUUGACGUUACCGACAGAAUAAGCACCGGCUAACUUCGUGCCAGCAGCCGCGGUAAUACGAAGGGUGCAAGCGUUAAUCGGAAUUACUGGGCGUAAAGCGCGCGUAGGUGGUUCAGUAAGUUGGAUGUGAAAUCCCCGGGCUCAACCUGGGAACUGCAUCCAAAACUGCUGAACUAGAGUACGGUAGAGGGUGGUGGAAUUUCCUGUGUAGCGGUGAAAUGCGUAGAUAUAGGAAGGAACACCAGUGGCGAAGGCGACCACCUGGACUGAUACUG
rnacentral:rRNA from 1 species